UGAAAAGACCACUUGUGAGUCCGCGCAGAUAGGU
rnacentral:sRNA from 1 species